rnacentral:rRNA from 1 species
UACGGAGGGUGCAAGCGUUAUCCGGAUUCACUGGGUUUAAAGGGUGUGUAGGCGGGCAUUUAAGUCAGUGGUGAAAUCUCCAGGCUCAACCUGGAAACUGCCGUUGAUACUAUUUGUCUUGAAUCCUGUUGAGGUGGGCGGAAUAUAUCAUGUAGCGGUGAAAUGCUUAGAUAUGAUAUAGAACACCGAUUGCGAAGGCAGCUCACUAAGCAGGCAUUGACGCUGAGGCACGAAAGCGUGGGGAUCAAACAGG